GAUGAAGAACGUAGCGAAAUGUGAUAAGUAAUGUGAAUUGCAGAAUUCAGUGAAUCAUCGAAUCUUUGAACGCACAUUGCGCCCGGCAGUACUCUGCCGGGCAUGCCUGUUCGAGCGUCAUUUCAACCCUCAAGCCCUGCUUGGUGUUGGGGUCCCACGGCCGCCGUGGGCCCUGAAAGGAAGUGGCGGGCUCGCUACAACUCCGAGCGUAGUAAUUCAUUAUCUCGCUUAGGGCGUUGGGCGGCGCUCCUGCCGUUAAAGAACCAUCUUUAACUCAAGGUUGACCUCGGAUCAGGUAGGAAUACCCGCUGAACUUAAGCAUAUCAAUAAGCGGAGGA
rnacentral:misc_RNA from 1 species